rnacentral:sRNA from 1 species
CUGCUAGCAGCUCAGCUCUGGCCCCAAAGGGCUUUAUUUAAUGAAACGUAGGGCUUAGGCUGUGAGAAGCUUGCCCCAGGAACUGAAGUUGCAGAUGUCCCAAUGGAGAAAAUAAGUCUCGGGAACCACCAAGGGGGGUGGUAAAGACUGUGAUCUCUUAGCUCUCUCCUCCUGUGGCCAUACCUCCCUGUCCCAUGUCUUCUUGUCAUGUUGGAUUCUUACUCUCUACAAUGAACCCAAAGACCAUCAGGAGCCAAUUCUGAAGCAAACACAUAAGCAACUUUAUUACAAGUUUGGGAGCAAGGACUUUCACCAUCAUCUUUGUGGAGGAGGGUCAGAAGUGAGAGCUCUAGUCUAGGGGUUCAAGGUAUUUAUUAUGGUUACAGCAAACUUGGGGGAAUUUUCAUAUGCGUCAGCAAGUUAAUACUUUAAAAACUGUAUUUUUAAAACUGUGUAAUCUGUAGGAAACAAACAUGGGGCAAAAUCACCUGACAAGCAGGAUAGCCAGGUUAUCUAUUUUCUUCAGGAUGUCUUAGGUUAUCUCUGUGUACCUUGACCCUGCUGUUGUAGCCUGAUUGGCUGUUGAUAAGGGGGGUGCAAUAGGAUGGCUGUUCUGUUUAUGCAAUCUCAAAAACUGAGUUGGUUGAGAUUUAAAAAGUAUCAUGUCUCCUGGGCUGGGAUAGUUUUCCAAACAUUCCUUGUUUUUGAUGAGCUUGACAACUUUCAAAGAACUGGUCGAGGACUGGGAAAGUGCUCUUCAACUGGAGGAGCAGGAUUUAUCUCCUGCUUUUCUCAUGACUAGAUUAGGGUUAGUGUUAUUGUAAGGGGAAGAUGGUGCAGCUAAAGUGAACCGAUAAAUGUGUCAAAUGGUGAUAUUAAAAAGAAAAAAAACACUUUUGCAUUUUACAGAAGUGUUAAAGAUGUACUAAACAGGAAUGAACCUGGCGGGAUAGAAAACAUAUUUGAACCUUCUUGUUACAAACUGAAAAGAAUUUCAAUGCCACAAGAAAUUUACCUACAACAGAACUGAGGCCUGGGUAAGAAUCUGAAAUGGUCUCACUAAGAUCACCUACUUAGCAGGAACCAUGAAAUAAGGGAGAUUCAGUUCUCCACGAGCUGUGCUUGUGUUAUGGUACCUUUCUGCAAGUCUAAACUUCAGGGUGACUUUCUGGUCCUCACUGAUCUGUCAAAAUAUUGAUUUGUAUAAAGCCAGUACAAAAAUCAAGAUAAUUGUAGCUCCUUGGACCUAUGUUGUGUAAAGUCUUCACUUCAGUAUCACAGGGUUGUGUAGUCUGAACAAGCAUUAUGACUUCAGGUAUUCUUGCCUCAAAAAUAGUUUCUAUAGCAAGAUCAGCCAAUGCUUAGCAUAGGAAGCGCCAACCUCAACCAUUGGAGGGGCUGUGAUGAACAUGAGCACUGGGCUGGGGGAUGCGUCGAGUGUGUGGUCGUGCAAUGCUCUCUGGGUUGUUAAGGUCACUUUAAGAUUGUGGAGAAAAAAACC